AGCCAUGCCGCGUGUAUGAAGAAGGCCUUCGGGUUGUAAAGUACUUUCAGCGGGGAGGAAGGGAGUAAAGUUAAUACCUUUGCUCAUUGACGUUACCCGCAGAAGAAGCACCGGCUAACUCCGUGCCAGCAGCCGCGGUAAU
rnacentral:rRNA from 1 species